GGGGGUGAACGGUUUCGACUUCGUGCGAUCGCUUCAGGGGAAGCGGGCCGAGGACCCAGGGUCGUCUCGUUAACGAUCCCUGGAAACCAAUAAGUGCCGAUUCCAAGCGCACUAACUUCGCUCUCGCCGCCUGAGGCGAGCUGACGAAGGGUCAGCCCGGGAGUGCCUUCGGCCCGGGUCCUGAUCUCAUCAAGAGGGCUCACCUGUACGGACUGGCCACUGGGCCGUACGGGGAAAUGAACGGUGGCUGGGCCCGUCGGCGACUUGCCUGUGAGAGCGCCGGGGCCGAGUAGAACGCCUAACAGGAUGCGCCCGGAGAAGCCCUGAAACAUCGACGAAGGACGCGGGUUCGAUUCCCGCCACCUCCACCA
rfam:Actinopolymorpha singaporensis strain DSM 22024 genome assembly, chromosome: I